rnacentral:antisense_RNA from 1 species
CUUCACCGACCCCAGCCACAGGGGCUCUUCACGUCCCUGCCCGUACGUGGCGAAGAGGGCCUGCGCCUC